AGAGUUUGAUCCUGGCUCAGAAAGAACGCUGGCGGCGUGCCUAACACAUGCAAGUCGAACGGAAUUGGAGAGCUUGCUUUUCAAUUUAGUGGCGCACGGGUGAGUAACGCGUAGAUAAUCUGCCUGAUGAUCUGGGAUAACACUUCGAAAGAGGUGCUAAUACCGGAUAAGCCCACGGGAUCUUUGGAUUCUGCGGGAAAAGGGGGGGACCUUCGGGCCUUCUGUCAUCAGAUGAGUCUGCGUACCAUUAGCUAGUUGGUAGGGUAAUGGCCUACCAAGGCUACGAUGGUUAGCUGGUCUGAGAGGAUGAUCAGCCACACUGGAACUGAGACACGGUCCAGACUCCUACGGGAGGCAGCAGUGGGGAGUUUUGCGCAAUGGGCGAAAGCCUGACGCAGCAACGCCGCGUGAGUGAUGAAGGCUUUCGGGUCGUAAAGCUCUGUCGAGGGGAAAGAAAUGUAUUUGGGCUAAUACCCUUUAUACUUGACGGUACCCCUAAAGGAAGCACCGGCUAACUCCGUGCCAGCAGCCGCGGUAAUAC
rnacentral:rRNA from 2 species